UGUGUGUUAGUGGAAGCGUCUGGAAAGGCGCGCGAUACAGGGUGACAGCCCCGUACACAAAAAUGCACAUGCUGUGAGCUCGAUGAGUAGGGCGGGACACGUGGUAUCCUGUCUGAAUAUGGGGGGACCAUCCUCCAAGGCUAAAUACUCCUGACUGACCGAUAGUGAACCAGUACCGUGAGGGAAAGGCGAAAAGAACCCCGGCGAGGGGAGUGAAAAAGAACCUGAAACCGUGUACGUACAAGCAGUGGGAGCACGCUUAGGCGUGUGACUGCGUACCUUUUGUAUAAUGGGUCAGCGACUUAUAUUCUGUAGCAAGGUUAACCGAAUAGGGGAGCCGAAGGGAAACCGAGUCUUAACUGGGCGUUAAGUUGCAGGGUAUAGACCCGAAACCCGGUGAUCUAGCCAUGGGCAGGUUGAAGGUUGGGUAACACUAACUGGAGGACCGAACCGACUAAUGUUGAAAAAUUAGCGGAUGACUUGUGGCUGGGGGUGAAAGGCCAAUCAAACCGGGAGAUAGCUGGUUCUCCCCGAAAGCUAUUUAGGUAGCGCCUCGUGAAUUCAUCUCCGGGGGUAGAGCACUGUUUCGGCAAGGGGGUCAUCCCGACUUACCAACCCGAUGCAAACUGCGAAUACCGGAGAAUGUUAUCACGGGAGACACACGGCGGGUGCUAACGUCCGUCGUGAAGAGGGAAACAACCCAGACCGCCAGCUAAGGUCCCAAAGUCAUGGUUAAGUGGGAAACGAUGUGGGAAGGCCCAGACAGCCAGGAUGUUGGCUUAGAAGC
rnacentral:rRNA from 1 species